rnacentral:rRNA from 1 species
UACGGGGGGGGCAAGCGUUGUUCGGAAUUACUGGGCGUAAAGGGCUCGUAGGUGGCCCAAUAAGUCAGACGUGAGAUCCCUCGGCUCAACCGAGGAACUGCGUCUGAGACUGCGGGGCUUGAAUCCGGGAGAGGGAUGCGGAAUUCCAGGUGUAGCGGUGAAAUGCGUAGAUAUCAGGAGGAACACCGGUGGCGAAGGCGGGUCUCUGGGCCGAUACUGACGCUGAGGAGCGAAAGCGUGGGGAGCGAACAGG